CGGAGUGUAGCGCAGUCUGGUAGCGUAUAUGUCUGGGGGACAUAGGGUCGUCGGUUCAAAUCCGGCCACUCCGACCA
rnacentral:tRNA from 1 species